CCAGUGCUGUACAUGUUCCCAUUGUCCAAACAGGGAUCAGAGGUCACGAAAGCGGGCUUCCGCACAUGAUUCACUUUAAAAUAUACUUCUUCGUUGAGAGACCUCAGAUUGAUAUGAUCAUCUGCUGUGGACCAAACAUUUAUCAUCUUAAUCGACAGCUUGUUGCAUGUGCACGAUUGUGCGCAUGAUCAGAAUGAUACUCACAUGCUUGCAUGGCCAGUGUGAAAUUCAAAAAGCAAACUCGUUAUCUUAAAAAAUUGGACUACCCACUCACCGCAAUCCUCAAAGGGCACCGUAGUUGCACUACUCAGAGGAACGAAUAAAAACAAAACAAAGACGUGGAGUCUCAUGCCGGAUGUCACUAUGGAGUCUCGCUAGCAAAUUUAAAGUGACGAACGAAAACUCCUACCAGAUGAAAUACGUUGUGACUUAUAUCAAGAAGGAUCAGUGGUUCUCAUGUAAUCUACUAAUCGAAUCGAUACACAGAGACGAUCAGCAAACACAUUUGAAAUUCACAUCUGUAUCGACCCAACUGGUAUCAUUGAAGAUCGACAAGCCUAACGAAUGGCGAUGACGAAUAUAUGAAAUCAGAAGUGAAAACUGAUAAUCGUCUGGUCGAUUCUAAUAAUAUUGUUGCCAUCGUGAUCAUCUAUACACACGCCAGUUAUCAAUUUCCAUCGAUAUAAUUAAUUGGACAAUUUAGCCGCCAUGGUUAUUAAUGAUUUUUAUCAAUUUGUAAUUUCAAUUUUUUAUAGAAUACGUAAACAGUCCUGAGUAUCGGAACAGGGGAGACAGGUGUCAGUUGAAUAAUUUACUCUACCAUAUAUUGGUAGUGAAUAAAUUAUAAUUGCCAGCUGUAGACUUGCUUCAAGAUAAAUCGACCAAAACUUCAUACAAAAAAUUCUGUAAGAGUCAUCGAUAAAUUAAAUAAUUCGUUUGUGCCUGGAUCGAACCGGUUCGCCCCAAAAUUUCAGGCUGCGAUUUCAUCAAGACGGUCUGUAAUUCAGAACAUCCAGAAGCAGUUCGAAACGAUACGUAAACAAAUUGCAUUUCUUCCUGAUGCCACAUACAGUAAUCAUCCUUAUAUAUCUACCAGUAACUCAUCCACAGUUCCUGUAUUCGACACGUGCAUGCUAAACACGUACAAAUGACAGCAGUAGUACCCUGUACAUAACAUAAAGUAUAUACAUAUAUAGCUACAGCCAAAAGCAGGAAGAACUUUCAGUGAUUGCCAUUGAGGCGAUGACGCGAUGACGCGACUUAUUCUGUAUCAAAUCGAAGCAAAUCGAAGCAAAUCGACAAACGUGCCUUGUAGCUCGAUAUUUCCGGAGGACUUUCAGUUCCGAAUGGGCAUCUAUUGCCGGCAAAAAUAUUAUGGAAUACUACCAGAGGAAAAAGAAGUGUCGUUCCUGUUUAUCUGCGCAGUUUGAAAGGAAAAAGUUCAGAUAUUCCUUACGAUAUCAUCAUUACGUUCUACAAUAUUUUCUACCUGGAAAUAAUUAUGAAUGUCUCGCACGUGCCUCCCAAUGACGCUAGUGACUCCGCCUGCUUCGGCGACCAUUGCCAAAGUUACCCAUUGCAGAUUUUUCACGGAGAAUUCCAACUGAAAAGUCGCCUUGAGGUUUUUCAGUACAGGAUUAGAAACACUUGAUAGCGGUGAGACGUCAUGUUUCAUACCUCCCGUAUACAACUCGCUUAUUAUUAUUCUUAUCAUUUCUGUCAUUCAUAUACAUACAGACCUGCAGUAUUUUCUUCCUUUCGGUUUGACAAAGUUUCCAUGAGAAAUGCCGUUGGCUACUAAACGAAAACUCUAGGAGAAUGUUUACGAUCGUGUUAAGAGGUCGUCGAACUAGGACGGGCGUAUCUACUUUUCGUCCGUGCAAUAUUGAUAUGCUUGAUGGAAAAGAUAUAAUCGGAAUCCGCAGAUACAGUAGUUGUACGGUAUAUAAAUAAAGUCUUUUUUACUAGAUACUAUAUACAUAUAUUUUUCGUGACCAUAAAUUUCGAGUUUUCUACUCGCUGGUAAUCUUGUAUCUCUGGGAUUUCUUGCUGUUCAGUUAUCCUUGUCUCUCUCUGCCAUUAGGCUACUUUGUAAAAGGCACGUGGAAAUUUCCAUCCGAUUCCUAAGCUUUUUACAGUGACACGCGGCAACGAUAAAUCAUGCUUAUUUCGUUUCUCGUGUGGUUCUAAUGAUUGUUUUUUGUACAUUGCGAGUACGCCUUUAGUCGCUGUAACGUCAUGUGACUUAUUGCUUGCACCAUUAGUCAUUUCCUUUCUGUUUAGUCCAUGUGUUAUUUCAUUCAAGGAACUCUAUCGCGAAUAUGGUAACAAUAUAGAGAAUAGAUCGUGUAGGUAAAAUCACAGUUUACUAAAUAAUAACUUUGACGUCUGUCAUUUGGACAUUUGUCAUUAUAAGCAACCCGUUGGUGUAUUCGUUGAAAAUUUAAUAGAAAUCCUUAACUAUUAUUUUCUUUGAAUGAUUAUCAAUUUCAAAUUCUAUUAUUUCUCUUCAGCUACAAUUUUCUCGUAAUCUUGACAACUACAGUGUCCCUUUCUAUUAUUACGGCUGGCGACUCCGUUAAUUAUCUCGAUAAUUACCACAGGACCCGUCAAGCGUCACGAUGCUGUUCCGUGAGACAAUUAGAGAGGACUAAUUAUACAUCCCCUAGAAUUCGAUGACUCGUAUGUUUUUGCUUUCACGCAACAGCAGCAACAAGUGUAUCGCGCGGUUGAGGUUUAUUAAAAAUUUUCACGGGAAAUGACUUUUCCGCAAAUGCUCCAUCUUUCCAGGGAAGCAUAAUCGAUGUCUAUAAAAAUCAUUGACAGACGUGGAGGCCCAUGAGUGAAAUAACCCGGAAUGACGUUAUUAUUCUUCUCAAUGGCGCCAAGAGAUUCGUGCUGGAAGGUACGUUCCACGUGUCCACCUGCGUCAUUAAAGACGUUGAAGUUCAAAGGGCAAUCGGUAGAUGGUCCUACAAGAACACGAGGACUAUUAUUAUGGUUACGGUGUAUUUUACGUCAUUAUUUCGUCAUUUAUGGUCAUUAUUAUGGUAUAGUGUAUGGAGAUUAUUAAAAAUUCUUUAAUUAAUUGUAUACAUACGUAUAUUUCAUAUUUACACACUUGAACGACCCAAGCAAAUAGGUAGUCAGAGGGCAAGAGCAAUGUUUUCUUGACUCUGGAUGACCAUGAAAACUAAAGAGACUCUG